rnacentral:rRNA from 1 species
GUAACACGUGGGAAUUUGCCCUUGAGUAAGGAACAACAGUUGGAAACGACUGCUAAUACCUUAUAAUAUCUCCGGAUCAAAGAUUUAUCGCUCAAGGAUAAGCCCGCGGCUGAUUAGCUUGUUGGUGAGGUAAUGGCUCACCAAGGCGUCGAUCAGUAGCUGGUCUGAGAGGAUGAUCAGCCACACUGGGACUGAGACACGGCCCAGACUCCU